CCCUCCUCCUCUGCUCCCCUCCCCAUCUCUCCUCUCCACUCCACUGCUACCUCUCCCUCUUUUUUGACAGGUUAGUUGCCCAACCUAACCUUAAACUUGAGCUCCUCUUGCCUCAGCCUUCCAGUUGCUGGGACUGUAGUUAUAGACCACCACCACCACGGCGGUCGGUUGGAGGUCAUCAUUUCUGCUCAUCUUCUCAUUCGGCACCCGUGGAGGUCCUUCGCACUGCUUCAUGGGUAGGACAACAGGUGCAAGAAAUCAAGUGGCUCUUCCAAGGCAGCAGAUUUGAGCUCCGAAUCUUCACCUCUCAGAAAGCCUAUGCUGUCAGUUAGCAUGUUCUACCUUCCUAUCAAGGGCCCAGUCAAACAUGGAUUCUUUAUUGUAUGUACUUAGCAUCCAACAAUACAGCUUUUGAUUAGAGAGAACCUUGCAGGAAGACCCUGCACCCUGAAAGGCAAUUAAUGCUGAGCCCAGUGCUUCCCUUUUUAGAAGCUGUUCUGUGAAGGAGAGCGAGCAGGAAGAUGAAGAAAGCCUGGAACCGAGUACACGCCACAGGAAGCAUGCUGACGUUUUCCGCAGUGCUUGUGAAAGGUCUAUUUCCAAACAAAAGAUUCAGCCUUUCUGCCGCUUACCUGAGGACCUUGAACUGGGUCAUGUGGUCACCUCCACCUACUGGGAGGCAUCUCCAGCAGGCAAGUUGGAGAAGCUAUGAAGGCAUUGCCAGCUUUCAUUACAUCGGCUACAAUUCAUUCUGGAAUGGAGAAGGAACUCCCAGCUCCUGCUGCCUGAGCACCACAAUUGAGACCAUGUUUUCUUCUGCCUCUGUUAUAUAUUUUCAGUGCUGAAAGCAGCCACUCCAGUUUGCUUCUUUGAGAUAGCUUCUAAUAGUGUUUAUCUAAGAAUCAAGACACUCGGUCAAGAUUAGCCUUUGAGUGGUUGCCUGGCCUGGCUCUAACUAGGUAUUUUAGCAAUGUGCAGUCUGAACAUGCCGGGGGGGGGGUGGCGGGGGUCCUGUCUUUAUUCUCUAUAGUUCCACUACACCUUCAACAGAGCAUUAAAUUUGGCAGAAAUAUAAUCAAGAGUGACAACUCAGUGCUGACCACAGCCUCACUGGGUGGGACAUAUGGGAAACUGCAGGAUAUCAAGGUAGCCGGUAAACCACAGUGUAACUAAAGGAGUCCUUUCAAAGAUACAUUGAAGCAAAACAGAGCAAUCAACAGUUUAGGAACUGCUAAGAAUUUGAGUCAGGGACCUGGAUUCAUGUGUGACUUUGCUUCUAUCCCAUGUGGACCAUAGGCAGGGCAUUAAUGUCUCUGGGGUUUUGACUUCUUUAUGUGUGAAAGAAUGAGGCUGGAGUAGGAAACCUUGUUUAUUUAAUGCACAGGUCUUAUCACUGAACUACCUCUGGCUUGAGGACCCCCCUUUUCUUUUAACAUCAAGUUUUGCAACACAGUCCUGGAUGACUUUGAACACAUAAUUCUCUUGCCUCAAUCUCCCAAAUGAUGGCAUUAAAAAGUACGUAGACACAACAUACUUGUGUACACAUGUGCAUGCACACAUACAAGUAAAUAAACAUGUAACUUUAAAAUUAAAAAGAACA
rnacentral:lncRNA from 1 species